CAAUGGCGUAUAUUAAAGUUGUUGCAGUUAAAAAGCUCGUAGUUGGAUUUCUGGUACAACGCGCCUGGCCCGCUUACGUGAGUGCCGGUGCGCGUUUGCCAUCCUUCUAGAAAACGUCUCUACUCGGGCAACUGAGCCGGAUUCGCGAUCUAGAUCUUUUACUUUGAAAAAUUAGAGUGUUUAAAGCAGGCUAUUGCCUUGAAUACAUUAGCAUGGAAUAAUGGAAUAGGACUUUGGUCUUAUUUUGUUGGUUUCUAAGGCCGAGGUAAUGAUUAAUAGGGACAGUUGGGGGCAUUAGUAUUUAAUUGUCAGAGGUGAAAUUCUUGGAUUUAUUAAAGACUGACUUAUGCGAAAGCAUUUGCCAAGGAUGUUUUCAUUGAUCAAGAACGAAAGUUAGGGGAUCAAAGACGAUCAGAUACCGU
rnacentral:rRNA from 1 species